rnacentral:lncRNA from 1 species
GGUGCUGCUGCCUCUGAAAUGGCUAGAAUCAUUUCAGGCACCAUCAUAGCUAAGGCACAGCUGUUUAUUCUGAGCUAAUUGGAGCAGAGUUAAAACCAAGAGAAGUAAACUGCAAGAAAGUAAAGUUUGAGAAGAAAGAGGAUAACCUCUUCAGUGAACAAAUGUCAAGCAUACGGUACAGCAUAGGAUGCAAUACAAGCUUUCCUGUGCCCCUCUUCAGGGGAAAGGAACUGAGCUCUUGCUGCACUGAAAUUCCUGGAAGCAUCCUGAACCACCUACUGAUACCAGUGCAAGCAGCAAGAGCUCAGUGCCCAGCCAGAA